GUAGGUGAACCUGCGGAAGGAUCAUUAGUCUAUGUGUGGCCCGUGAGGGCUUACACGUCGGGUCUCGUCUUUUUGUCGCCGAAAGGCCGCAAAUUGGUGGGGUGUCUGAAAACCCUUGAAUAUAAAACUUAGUUGCUUUGGCGGGCCGCCCUUGGGCGUCGGCCCCGGCUGACAGUGCCCGCCAGAGGCCCAAAACUCUAUUGUCUCUGACGUCUGAGUACUAUAUAAUAGUUAAAACUUUCAACAACGGAUCUCUUGGUUCUG
rnacentral:misc_RNA from 1 species